rnacentral:misc_RNA from 1 species
GUUUUCAUCUUCAUAAUGAAUGUGAUCCAUCGUUAUUUUGAGAGCCUUUUCUCUCAAUUUGUUGAAGGGCCAACGAGUGAAGAGGGGCUCACCAAAUGUGUGAAGAGCAUCCCACAUCAAUAUUUGUAUCAAAGUGUGGGGGUAGUGAUUAUCUUCCUUUGCACAUAAAUGGCGCACACUCUUCCACUUGAUUUCGUGAUAAGGUUCAUUAUAUAUUUCUUCUCUUAUUUGUAAAAUAAGAGGUGUGAUUGGACCAACAAACCUCUUCCCAUACAAGUACGACAUAGGCAUGUAAGUGAGUCGACAGUAGCAAAACAUUUUUGCUGGAUGCAUGGGAAAAAUAGUAGGAAAGACCCAAAACUCUGGGGGCAUAGGGUUGCUUCCAUCCCACUCAUAAACACCAAGUAUUGAUAGCCAUGUCUUUCCCCAUGAGCUUAUGGCAGUCGCACCACCAUGAUCAAGAAUCCAUUUUCUCCCUCUUUCACAAGCAUUAUCCCUUCCACCAUCACGUCCUUGGCCAAGUAUGCGCAUGCAUAUAUAGUUAAGAACUGUACAGAACAUGGUACUGUGACCUUCAAUGUGUAAUCCCCACCCACCAUCUUCAUUCUGAUGACAGUAUAUGUAACGUAGGAUCUCUUUGCGAUGCUCCGCAGAGAACACAGUAUUAAGAUGGCCUGUAAUAUACAGAGAGAAAACCAGGGGAGGAAAAUAGAACAUUGGGCCUGCAUUUUCUGCGCACCAGUGGCCAUCGCUAGCCUGCAAGGCUGAGAACAAGUGGACGCUCCUCCUUAAUGCGGCAGUGGCAGUUUCAGAUGUAAUUUCCUCACCGUCCUGAAUCUUUACUUGAGGAAUUGUUUGUUUGAACUUUUUCUCUCUCAGAAACUG